rnacentral:rRNA from 1 species
UACAGAGGUCUCAAGCGUUGUUCGGAUUCAUUGGGCGUAAAGGGUGCGUAGGCGGCGCGGUAAGUCGGGUGUGAAAUCUCGGAGCUUAACUCCGAAACUGCAUUCGAUACUGCCGUGCUUGAGGACUGGAGAGGAGACUGGAAUUUACGGUGUAGCGGUGAAAUGCGUAGAUAUCGUAAGGAAGACCAGUGGCGAAGGCAGCUUACUGGGCCGAAACUGACGCUGAGGAGCGAAAGCGUGGGGAGCAAACAGG